rnacentral:rRNA from 1 species
CCCUUAGAUGUUCUGGGCCGCACGCGCGCUACACUGAUGCAUUCAACGAGUUCCUUCCUGGUCCGAGAGGAAUGGGUAACCUUUUGAAAGUGCAUCGUGAUAGGGAUAGACUAUUGCAAUUAUUGGUCUUCAACGAGGAAUUCCUAGUAGACGUAGUUCAUCAGACUGCAUCGAUUACGUCCCUGCCCUUUGUACACACCGCCCGUCGCUCCUACCGAUUGAAUGGUCCGGUGAAGCGUUCGGACCGUGGCCUUUGGACGGUUCGCCGUCUGUUGGCUGCGGGAAGUUCGUUAAACCUUAUCAUUUAGAGGAAGGAGAAGUCGUAACA